rnacentral:rRNA from 2 species
GGGUUGUGAGGUUAAGCGACUAAGCGUACACGGUGGAUGCCCUGGCAGUCAGAGGCGAUGAAGGGCGUGCUAAUCUGCGAUAAGCGCCGGUAAGGUGAUAUGAACCGUUAUAACCGGCGAUACCCGAAUGGGGAAACCCAGUGUGACUCGUCACACUAUCAUUAACUGAAUCCAUAG